AUUGAACGCUGGCGGCAUGCCUUACACAUGCAAGUCGAACGGCAGCGGGGGAGAAGCUUGCUUUUCCUGCCGGCGAGUGGCGAACGGGUGAGUAAUACAUCGGAACGUGCCCUGUAGUGGGGGAUAACUAGUCGAAAGAUUAGCUAAUACCGCAUACGACCUGAGGGUGAACGUGGGGGACCGCAAGGCCUCAUGCUAUAGGAGCGGCCGAUGUCUGAUUAGCUAGUUGGUGGGGUAAAGGCCUACCAAGGCGACGAUCAGUAGCUGGUCUGAGAGGACGGUCAGCCACACUGGGACUUAGACACGGCCCAGACUCCUACGGGAGGCAGCAGUGGGGAAUUUUGGACAAUGGGCGAAAGCCUGAUCCAGCAAUGCCGCGUGUGUGAAGAAGGCCUUCGGGUUGUAAACUGCUUUUGUACGGAACGAAACGGCUCUGGUAAAUACCUGGGGCUAAUGACGGUACCGUAAGAAUAAGCACCGGCUAACUACGUGCCAGCCGCCGCGGUAAAAC
rnacentral:rRNA from 1 species